rnacentral:tRNA from 1 species
GCUUGGUUGGCUCAGCUGGUUAGAGCGCCGGUCUCAUACUUGUAUGAGUGAGCAGCUGCUUGCGUAAUCCGGAGAUCACCAGUUCGAUCCUGGUACCGAGCA